rnacentral:lncRNA from 1 species
AUUGGCACGUGGCAUUUAAGAGACAAGCACAGUUUCAGAAUGUGAAAUCGCCAUGGUAAUGCUCUUCGUAACAUACUGGCUCAGGCAGAGAAUGGCACAGACUUAACUUUCUGGAAUAUAAGCCGCCUGCUGUUGACAUGGAAAGCCUCUGAACAUCUUUACUAGGGAGGUUGUAAAGAUGAUUAGAAAUGUCUGCUGAUCCUGGAAGUGAAGCAUCACUUGAAACUCUCCAUUUGCCUUUUGGAGGUGACUAGAAAUGGCAAUGAAAAUGAGAGUAGAUGCAUAAAGAGAAAAAGUUCUGGCGAGAGUUCCAGGUACCUUACAUGGAAGCAGCUGGGUAAACAGUGAUUUUGAGGCAUUAACACAUCAUAUUUGUACAGCAAUGAGAGUUUUGAAAAACAUUCAUCCUUCACACUCAAAGUGAAGCCAGACAUAACAUUUACUAAAAAGCAAGAGUCUAGUACAGUGUUGGAGAUGCAUCCUGCCUCGCCCAAAUUUCCAAAUGUUUGCUCCACUAUUCUUUACAAACAUCUCAAGGAAACUUCAACAACUUUUCAGCUUGUUUAAUGUUAAUGAAAGUGAAUAUCCCAAUGUUCUGAAAAAAGCAAAAACUGUCUUUCCAGCUGCUUGGCCUGAUGGAAGUAUAAAGGCGGGCUUUUAGUAUGCAGCAAAGCUGUGCGUGAUGUCUCUGAUUUUAAAUGUUUCACCCAAAAUGUAAUACGACUAUGUUUAUUUUUUUCUCUUUUACAUGAGGGAAGUGUUUCCAUAAGACCUGGAAGACAAGACAUAAUGUGGGGACACAAAGGCAGAUGAAGACUUAUUGCUCAUUCUUCUUUUUUCCACUUCCUGAAAUAGACAGUCCUUCCCUCCUGAUCCAAACCCGAUUCAUUGUGUCAUAUCUAACUAAAAUGGCACCUUUCCUAAGAGUGCUUGUUCUUUGUGACUCCAGGACGUUCUAUCAGCCAUUGUUGUGGAUACCCUUCCCCACACAUUUUAGAGCUCCAAGUACAGCACAGUGAUGGCAUUUCAUGCUCCUUGGAACCUGUGAGGUGGGUGCCACAUCGUCUUCACUUUUUGGAUGUGAAAGCUGAAGCUCAGAGGUCCUGUCACCAGUCUAUGUGUCAAGGUCAUACACAUCAGUUAGUGAACAGCCAGGGUCUGCAGCCUCACUGUCCAGCUUCGGGGGGCUCCACGCGGAAACUCCCUGCAGUUCUCUGUUCUCCGCGGUAACCUCACUCGUGGAUUCCUUUAAGGCCUAUUCUUUUAUCUUCAACUAAACCAUGAAUCCCUUGAUGACAGCUUUUGUCUUGUACUUUUUUUUACAUCUGGAUAGCCACUUCACAAAAGAAUACCUGCAGGAGUCUAUCAUACGUGCACUGAUUGAGAUGGAUCAUGUGAGGAUAUGUAAAACCAGAGACUCAAAAAAUAGCAAACUGAACAUUUAGAUAAGGAAUCAAGGUGAAGAUGGAUAAACAUGCAAGUUUGAAAGAAAGCAGGAACAAGGCAAUCCAACUUGUAUUUUCUGUAAGCUGGCGGCAGAACAUUUAACUGCCAGCUCCUGACAAGGUUUGGAAAACUCAUCAGUGGGAAAGCAGCCAAAACACUGCUCAAGCAUGGGUGGUCACCAGCAGCAAAGGAGGGAAAGCAAGCCAGAAAGAAAGAAGGAAAGAGAGAGUUUUUAUAUAAGUGCUUUCCCAUGAUGUUCUAGCUAUGUGCUUUACUAAAGCAGUGUAACUGUCACCAUCCUGCUGAAAGCUCAAAUUAAGGUGAUGCAAUGAGGAAGCAUUUCAUAUUAAUAACGGCA